GAUGAACGCUGGCGGCGUGCCUAAUACAUGCAAGUCGAACGCAUUGUGGUUGAAAUGAUAUGAAGAACUUGUUCAGAUUUGAUUUUCAACAUUGCAAUGAGUGGCGAACGGGUGAGUAACACGUGGGAAACCUACCUCUUAGCAGGGGAUAACAUUUGGAAACAAAUGCUAAUACCGUAUAAUAAUUAAAAACCGCAUGGUUUUAGUUUAAAAGAUAGGUCUUGCUAUCACUAAGAGAUGGUCCCGCGGUGUAUUAGUUAGUUGGUGAGGUAAUGGCUCACCAAGACAAUGAUACAUAGCCGAGUUGAGAGACUGACCGGCCACAAUGGGACUGAGACACGGCCCAUACUCCUACGGGAGGCAGCAGUAGGGAAUCUUCCACAAUGGACGAAAGUCUGAUGGAGCAACGCCGCGUGUGUGAUGAAGGGUUUCGCUCGUAAGACACUGUUGUAAGAGAAGAAUGACAUUGAGAGUAACUGUUACAAU
rnacentral:rRNA from 1 species